UCUCCCCUGAGGCCAGUCACAUGGGGCCAUCCUGGGACGGGGUCAUCCUGGGCUUGAUGCUCUGUUCUUGCCACCUUGGAAGUCUUCACACUUGUUUUUUUUAACGAGUGGUCUUGCCUUUUCAUUCUGCACUUUACCUGGUCCUGCCUGCCAGGGGAGAGGGAGGCAAGCGGAGCAACCUGAGCACAUGUUGUUGAAACGCAAAUCAUGCAGUACGUAGAGUAAUCUUUUCAUGCGGCCAGUUGGCGAACCAUGGACUGGGAGGAGGUUGUGGAAUUACCUUUCUUUGAAGAGUUUUGAAAAUAGUAUAAAGCCUCACUCUUCUGCUACGCUUAAAUGUGUGGUUCUGCCAAAAGACGGGGAGAUGGGCAUUCUUCUUGAGGUACCUGCCUGCCUCUCUACAAAUCCUUUGUGAAAACAGAGAACUACAAGGAAUUUUGUGACUCAACCAUUUCCCCCUUUUUAAGGAGUGCAUUGCAGAGAAACUUAGCGAGAACCUGAAAUGAUCCUUAGAGACACAAGAGAGUCUCCUGCCCAGCACCCUCUGCCUGCUUCCUCAGGGCACAUGGAGAGCUUGCCAGGGCUGCCAUAGAUGUCAUCCAGGAGCGGCUGAAGGAUGGACCCACCCUGAAGACUCAAAAAGGAAUUCAUCAAGAAGCUGAUUCUGUCCUUCACAAAAUGUCUGGAUGGCAUUCAAGCAACCAAUUCCUGGAGCAAUGGGUGUGGAUUAUAUGAUGCUAACUUCAAUCCAGAGGAUCUAGAACUGAACCAAACCUGUGAAUCAUUCAACAAACACUUACUGGAUACUGAUUAAGUGCAAGUCACCUGUGGAGAAUUCAAGAUGGCUGCAAAUACUUGUACCUACCUUCCAUUGAGAAGCGGGGUCUUUGCCCCCAUCCUUGAAUCUGGGCAGCCUUUGGGACUGCUUUGAGCAAUAGAAUAUGGCAGAAGUGUUGCUGUACCAGUUUUGAGGCCCAGACCUCCAAGAAACAAACAACUUGAGCUUUCCAACUUCCUGUCUCUCAGGAUGCUCUCUCUGGGAGCUUUGAGCUGCCAUAUAAGAAGUCCGACUUCUGUGCCCACCACAUUGGCGAGGCCACGGGCAGGCAAUCUGGUCAACAGUCCCAGCUGAGCCCAGGCUCCUAGCCAGCCCUGCCAAGGUGCCAGACACGUCAGUGAGGCCUCCUGGAAUCCUCCAGUAACAGGACUUUGAAUAUUAAUUGGAUAUACAGAGGCACAGACUGAAGACUACACUUUCCAGCCUCCCAUGCAGCUGGAUGGAGCCAUACAACCAAGUUUCGGCCAAAGGAAAGAACGUGGCUCAGAUGGAUGUGCCAGAGGAAAUGCACCAGGAAAUCCCGAGCAGGGUGCAAUCAGUCACCAUUAAUGCUCACAAGUAUCAAAGCUACUUGAAGAAAUACAGCUACUUAUGGAUGGAUGAUAAAAUUGAAUUCACGAAGCAGUUCCUUCUCCAUGAGUGAUUUCUUAGUGCUGAAAAACUAGAAUUGCAUGUGGACUAUGAGUGUCAGAACUCCACACUGCAGUUAGCACACUUUACAGAACACGUAUUGAAUUUUAGCUGAGUCUAGCAUCAUCUUUUUCAACUCCCAGGACAGCUGUUAAAUCAUAAAAUAUUUUGAGAUAUAAAGCUCUUGCCUCUGAGAGAUCUUUCCUUUUUUUCCCCUUUUCCUUUAAGAUCAACAUCUAUGAAAUAUUAUGUGAAGGAAUUGAUAACUUUAAAAAUCAGAAGAUAUUUAGUGGCUAGCUUCAACUUGAUACUUUUAAAAAUCCAUGAUGAAUGUUACAAAAAAUGAGAUUUGAUGUUUAAGGAGCAUCUGCUUAACCAUUGUAACCUGUAGGUAGAGUAAUUUGAAUCUGAUUGUGAAAGGAAAUUAAAAUAACACAAAUCAUUUGAUGAAACUAUCCUCAUAGAAUUCUAAUUUAACUCAAAUAAUAAGUAUUUUAAUGGUUCUCCUAUGUGCUUAUUUUUAAUGUCGUAUUCUGUAAGUUACAAGAGAGUUGCUUUCAUGCAUGUGAAAUGCAAUUCUCUUCUUGCAAAAACUUGACACAAUGCUUAUCCAUUUGAUUUGAUUGCAUUUACGUGUUCAUUAAUAUAAUUGAAACAUGUAGCUUCCCCCAAGUUUUCACAGGCUCAUCCCUAAUUAACUGUUGGCAUUUUCUCAUAUUAUAUGUUAGUAUAACUGAGUUAGGGCAAUUUAUUGAUGAAAUAGGGAAAGAUUGAGCAGAGGACGUGAAGUGGGAAUUCAGCCCAUUGAGUACUGAUUGGGGGACUGUGGGCAGCUGGACCAUGCCAGGCAAUAGCCCUAAAAUCUCUGCUAUUUUAACUGCUUUACUAAAGCAUCCAGAAGAGAUUUAUAUGGGCAUAAGUGAUAGGGACUCAAGAGAGAGAGGUUAUCUCCAGGAGAUAGUAUUACUUUCCCCCAACUGGGCCCUGAACCACAAGUCAAAGGAGACUCAUGGUCUUCUAAGUAUGUUCUGUGUAUUUACAGGGUAUUUAAAAAAGUUUUAAAGAUUUAAUAGAACAGUCUGUGAACUUGGAAGGAGAAAAGAGAGCUUCUAAUCCUUGCUCAGCACUUUUGAGCACUGUGAUCUUGCUUGAGUGAGUUAGCCUGAGCGCAUUUCUUCACAGUGCCCUUGUGGGGUCUAAAUGCAAUACUUAUACAGGCUGCCUUGAUGUAGCCAACCAGUAUAUGUUUAUUGAAAUAUGAGGCUUUUAACCUUUUUUCUUUUCUUUUCUUUUUUUUUGUUUUUGAGAAGGAGUCUCGCUCUGUCGCCCAGGCUGGAGUGCAGAGGCGUGAUCUCGGCUCACUGCAAGCUCUGCCUCCUGUGUUCACGCCAUUCUCCUGCCUCAGCCUCCCGAGUAGCUGGGACUACAGGCGCCUGCCACCACGCCCGGCUAAUUUUUUGUAUUUUUAGUAGAGAUGGGGUUUCACUGUGUUAGCCAGGAUGGUCUUGAUCUCCUGACCUCAUGAUCCACCUGCCUCAGCCUCCCAAAGUGCUGGGAUUACAGGCAUGAGCCACCACGCCCGGCCCUUAACCUUUUUUUAAAUCAAGGAUAGGAAAUGAAAUCCACAAAGGAGGUGGUCAAUAAAAUAAGCAAAGGAGAUUUAAAUGGAGAUAACUUUUCAAAUUAAGAGUUUAAAGUCUUAUUUUUUUGUCCUUUACAGAUUAAUGUGAGGAUAUCUGACUAAAAGAAUUAAGAAACCCCUACCUUUAUUAUUUAUUUAUUUUUUGAGAUGGAGACUUGCUCUGACACCCAAGCUGGAGUGCAGUGGUGUGAUCUCGGCUUACUGCAGUCUACACUUCCCGAGUUCAAGCGAUUCUCCUGCCUCAGCCUCUUGAGUAGCUGGGAUUACAGGUGCCCGCCACCACGCCUGGCCAAUUUUUUUGUUGUUGUAUUUUUAGUAGAGACGGGGUUUCACCAUGUUGGCCAGGGUGGUCUCGAACUCCUGACCGCAAGUGAUCUGCCCACCUUGGCCUCCCAAAGUGCUGAGAUUACAGGUGUGAACCACUGUGCCCGGCCCCUAC
rnacentral:lncRNA from 1 species